AACAACAGGACUGUCACUGUUAACGUGUACGUUCUGCCUGUUAUUCAGCAUGGACAGCAGAUAUUCAGUACCAUUGAAGGAAUCCCGGUCACACUGCCGUGCAAAGCCAGUGGAGUUCCUAAGCCGUCUAUACUCUGGUCCAAGAAAGGAGAACAAAUUCUUGCCAGC